GGCGGGUGUGGUAGUGCACACCUGUAAUCCCAGCAACUUGGGAGGCUGAGGCAGGAGGAUUGCAAGUUCAAAGCCAGCCUCAGCAAAAGUGAGGCCUUAAGCAACUCAGUGAGACCCUGUCUCUA
rnacentral:sRNA from 1 species